rnacentral:rRNA from 1 species
GUAAAGCGUGCGCGGGCGGCUUUUUAAGCCAGACGUGAAAUCCCAGGGCUUAACCUGGGAACUGCGUUUGGAACUGGAAAGCUAGAGUGUGUCAGAGGGGGGUGGAAUUCCACGUGUAGCAGUGAAAUGCGUAGAGAUGUGGAGGAACACCGAUGGCGAAGGCAGCCCCCUGGGUCGACACUGGCGCUCAUGCACGAAAGCGUGGGUAGCAAACAGGAUUAGAUACCCUGGUAGUCCACGCCCUAAACGAUGCCAACUAGGUGUUGGAGAAGGAGACUUCUUUAGUACCGUAGCUAACGCGUGAAGUUGGCCGCCUGGGGAGUACGGUCGCAAGAUUAAAACUCAAAGGAAUUGACGGGGACCCGCACAAGCGGUGGAUGAUGUGGAUUAAUUCGAUGCAACGCGAAAAACCUUACCUACCCUUGACAUGUCCGGAAUCCUGCUGAGAGGUGGGAGUGCUCGAAAGAGAGCCGGAACACAGGUGCUGCAUGGCUGCCGUCAGCUCGUGUCGUGAGAUGUUGGGUUAAGUCCCGCAACGAGCGCAACCCUUGUCAUUAGUUGCCAUCAUUUAGUUGGGCACUCUAAUGAGACUGCCGGUGACAAACCGGAGGAAGGUGGGGAUGACGUCAAGUCCUCAUGGCCCUUAUGGGUAGGGCUUCACACGUCAUACAAUGGUCGGUACAGAGGGUCGCCAACCCGCGAGGGGGAGCCAAUCUCACAAAGCCGAUCGUAGUCCGGAUUGGAGUCUGCAACUCGACUCCAUGAAGUCGGAAUCGCUAGUAAU